rnacentral:rRNA from 1 species
UACGGGGGGGGCAAGCGUUGUUCGGAUUCACUGGGUUUAAAGGGUGCGUAGGUGGGCUAGUAAGUCCGUGGUGAAAUCUCUGAGCUUAACUCGGAAACUGCCGUGGAUACUAUUAGUCUUGAAUCUCGUGGAGGUAAGCGGAAUAUGUCAUGUAGCGGUGAAAUGCUUAGAUAUGACAUAGAACACCGAUAGCGAAGGCAGCUUGCUACACGAGUAUUGACACUGAGGCACGAAAGCGUGGGGAUCAAACAGG